GGGAGGAGCCGAGGAGGGGAAAAUGUGACAGCCGCAGCCCCGCCUUGAGAAGCAAGGUCCCGACUCCCAGGGCACAGGGCGAGCGGCUGGAGGGCUAAGUUCAGGUCUUGGCGGCCGCAGGCCCCACCUCUGCCGUCCACCCCGGCCCCGCCUCGGCGCCCAAGCGCUGGCCGCGGUGCUGAAACUCGGUCUCCGCGCAGGGCGGCCGAGGGGGCGGGGCUCCCUGGAGCGCUGAGCCGGGAAAGGGGAGGGGGCAGGGCGGCGCCUCUGGCCGGAAACCUUGGCAGUCGCAGAGCAGGCCGGAGGCACCAGAUAGGCCUGGCUAGAGCCGGCGCAGGCCACCGGCCAACGUUCCCCGACGAAGCCAAGAUUGUCCUUGUCCCUGGCAAGCCUCUUCCUCCCACCUUGGAGAGACCUUCCCCUUGGGCCCUGACCUCGGCCUUCUCCCCAAAACUUGAGGAGUGACCCACCUGCGGGACCUACAACCACAAAGGCGCGCCCUCACCAUGGCGAAGCUACUGCCGGCCCAGGAGGCAGCCAAGAUCUACCACACCAACUACGUGCGCAACGCGCGCGCCGUGGGCGUGAUGUGGGGCACACUCACCAUCUGCUUCUCGGUGCUGGUCAUGGCCCUCUUCAUCCAGCCCUACUGGAUCGGCGACAGCGUCAGCACACCGCAGGCAGGCUACUUCGGACUCUUCUCCUACUGCGUGGGCAAUGUGCUGUCCUCCGAGCUCAUCUGCAAGGGAGGCCCGCUGGAUUUCUCCUCCAUCCCCUCCAGAGCCUUCAAGACCGCCAUGUUCUUUGUGGCCUUGGCCAUGUUCCUCAUCAUUGGCUCCAUCAUCUGCUUCAGCUUGUUCUUCGUCUGCAACACGGCCACUGUCUACAAAAUCUGCGCAUGGAUGCAGCUGGCUGCGGCCACAGGCCUGAUGAUUGGCUGUCUGGUCUACCCCGACGGCUGGGACUCCAGCGAGGUGCGGCGCAUGUGUGGGGAACAGACGGGCAAGUACACGCUGGGCCACUGCACCAUCCGCUGGGCUUUCAUGCUGGCCAUCCUCAGUAUCGGCGACGCCCUCAUCCUCUCCUUCCUGGCGUUCGUGCUGGGCUACCGGCAGGACAAGCUGCUCCCCGACGACUACAAGGCAGAUGGGAAAGAGGAAGUGUGAAGCCGCUGGAGCCGGGGGCGGUCUCCCAUGUUUCGGACAAUGGAAAAUUCGGGAAUGUAGCUCAUCAGUCAGCAGCUUCCUUCCAAACCUCCUCUUCAUUGCGGUCGGCAGCUCGGCCUGACGUGUGAAGUCUUUCAUUCCGGGCUUCGAGCGUGCGGGAUCCCAGGACCCUUCCCGGGGGCAGCAGUCUCUCCUAGCCCCUCACCCAGCAAGUCGCUUCAUCCUCGGGUGGCCCGUCCUCUCUACAGAGAGGGUUGGAUGGGGGCCUUCCCGAGGGCCUGGCCAGGGCGGCACCCCUGACAGCUUGCGCAAGUCUUUGAGGGCUGCCGUGGACAGAGGCGGUGAGGAUUAAGGAGCGCCAAUGCUUCUCCCUUCUCAUACUGUUUUCUCACUGUUGCUCAGAGAGGGGGAAGGAGUGGAGAGGCUACUGGAAUCUGAACCCUUGCACGCAUCUGGGAGGCUAACAAAGCCCGGGUGAACGUGGGGUCUGCCGCCUCUUGCGGGGUGGGCGUUUGGCUCCGUGGGUAAGAAGCAUCCGUGGGUGUGACGCUUGGGACACCAGCAUCACAUACGGGAGCGCCUGGGUUCAAGUCCUGGCUCUGCUUCUGAUUCCAGCUUCCUGCCACUGCACUCCCUGGGGGGCAGCAGGUGCUGGCUCACGUACUUGGGUCCCCGUCGUCCUCAUGUGACACCCAGAUCGAGUUCUUGGCUCCAGGUUUUAGCCUGGCCCAGGCCCGCUGCUGCGGGCUUCUGGGGGAAUGAACCAGCAGAUGGCAGAUGUCUGUGCAUCUGCUUCUGUCUCUCUGCCUUUGAAGUAAAUAAAUACUUUUAACAAACUCUAAAAGGGGCUGGCGCUGUGGUGUAGCCGGUAAAGCCGCUGCCUGCAGUGCCGGCAUCCUAUGUGGGCACCGGUUCGAGACCCGGCUGCUCCACUUCCGAUCCAGCUCUCUGCUGUGGCCUGGGAAAGCAGUGGAGGAUGGCCCAAGUCCUUGGGGCCCUGCACCCACAUGGGAGACCCGGAGGGAGUUCCUGGCUUCGGAUCGGCACAGCUACGGCCGUUGCGGCCAACUGGGGAGCAAACCAGCAGACAGAUCUCUCCCUCUCCCUUUCUCUCUGCCUCUCCUUCUCUUUCUGUGUAACUCUGACUUUCAAAUAAAUAAAUCUUAAAAAAAAAAAAACAAAAAACAAAAAAAAAAACCUCUAACAAAACUCUCAAGACUAAUUUGACUUUUCUCCCUGGGAACCCAGAAUCACAAUUCCUUGUCAUAUCCAGGGACUUAACCAGCAUUGGCUCCCAGCUUCCAAAUCUUGUGACUUACGGCUGAGUAAUUCGUGAUAGGAAUAGAUGACCUUUCUUGUCGCGAACUUUUUGGAUAAUGCAUAUUCAAUGGUGAGUACUUCAAUGGGCAGCCUCAGUUUAGGUAGCAAAUGCCAAGACAAUGACAGGGAUCUCAGGCGAUCCCCUACCUGGGAGAUGGCAGCUGGAGACAGGCCUUUGUUGGUGAUCUCUGAGAAACAAGAUCCAGCCAUUGUGUGUGUCCAGCUACAGUUGGUAAAGGACAAAACCGUAAUGAAUUCUGCUGCUUGCUCCAGCCACGAUCAGUGUGACGUGGAAGUUCUCUUAUCCUUGCUGGUGGGCUUUAUUUAACCACUGCACCCCACAACCUGCCAGUCACCGUGCUGUUUAAUCUUCAGAUAGGCCAGGAAUGUGCUUCAGAAUCGUCCCAGUUGAAUUGUUGGCAAAGGAAACUAUUAUAAUGGGAUUUAACUUUGACACUUGGUUCAUAGCAUCUUUUUAUUUUUCCCCCUGAAGAUCUAUUUAUUUAUUUGAAAGGCAGAGAGAGGGGCUGGCACUGUGGCAUGGUGGGCAAAGCUGCUGCCUUCGGCACUGGCAUCCCAUGUGGGUACUGGUUCGAGUCCUGGCUGCUCUACUUCCAAUCCAGCUUCCUGCUAAUGUGCCUGGGAAGGCAGCAGAACCUGGAAGAAGCUCCUGCCUCCUGGCUGUGAUCUGGCCCAGCCCUGGCCAUGUGGUCAUUUGGGGAUUUUGAACCAGAGGAUGGAUCAAAUAAAAAAAGAAAGGGGGAGAGAGUGAGAGAGAAAGCAAGGAAUCUUCCAUCUGCUGGUUUACUCCCUAAAUGGCUGCAACAGCUGGGGCAGGGCCAGGCUGAAGACAGGAGCUCCAUCCAGGUCUCCCAUGUGGGUGGCAAGGACCCACAUACUUGAGCUGCUGUCCAUUGCUUCCAAGGUACAUUAGCAGGGAGCUCCCCUUGAGUUAUUUCGCCCAAGUAGAAACUCUAGUAGUCUUCAGAAACUACUGGAGUUCAGGUGCCUCUACCUGAACUCAGGUGCCCGCACCUGCUCUUGCUGGGACCCGUGAGUUUGAGCAAAGCUGCAGAUGUCUUGAUCAGUGACCAGAACUGGAGAAGGCCUUGCCAAUCUGUGAGCCCUGCGACCCGGAUUUCAUAGCUUGCGUUGUCUUCAGGGAAAACAAGAAUUCAGCCUAGUAGUAACCAUGACUACUGUUCAGACACCUACUAAUUAACCACUCCUUCCAAGAGGCUUCCCUUUUUAUUCUUAAAGGAGACAUCCAACCUCCUUCAUCUUUGAAAGUUUAAAGAGUAAAAUGAGGCCUCUUACCAAGUUGCUUGUUUCUGGCUAGCCCUGCCUUUGGCUAGGGGCAGAGAGAUGAUUUCGGCGUCCUUGCUUUCUCCACAAUGACUAGCCCUGAGCAAGGAAGCUUGAGGGAGGAAGGACCAGACAUGGAUAGCCGUGAACUUGCGUAUCUUAAAUGCUUUCAUUGACUUACGACCCGUUAUUACUGCUACACAAGCUUCUCUAGACCUUAGUGACUUAAAACCCCAUGUUAUUUCUCUGUGUCUGAGGGCUAGGAGUCCUGGCCAAGUUCAACUAAGUGUCUCUGCCUCACGGUUUCUCACAGGCAGCAAUUAUGUUGGAUCCAGUUCCAAGCUCUGUGGUUGUUUCUUGUAGGUCCUUGGAGCAUAGCGUUGCAGGGUUCUUGCUAUCGGCCUCUCCACAGGGCAACUCAGGCGGCACCAAUGCUUUGCUCGACAGGAGCUCCCAAAGAGAGCGAGACAGCAAGAGACGGUGCACAAAGCCACAGCCCUUUGUAAUGCAGCCCCAGAAGUGACAUCACCAUCACUUUCACCCUAGGGUUAGAACACACAGUCCACACGCAAGACCCUUGAUCACAAAAAUGCCUGCACACCAGGAGGCAGCACUCACCGGGCCCUUCUAAAAGUUGCUUCUCAUGGUUAUUCAGCUAAUAUUCUGCUGCAACAGGCAUUUAUUGGAAGGCUUCAUGGGGACGAAGACUGGAUUCUGGUCACCUUACAUGCUGAUGGACACAUUGGGUUCAUAAGAGGUUGAUGAAGACGACAGAAGAGCUCCAACCCUGAAAAUUUCUCUCACCUGACCUCUAAGCGAUUUCUAACACCGCCCGCUCUCCUCUACACCUAGUAGACCCGAACAAUGUCUUAGCGGAACAAUAUGAAUACAGUUCAAACUGUGGGCAGCUCAAGCACUUUUGUGAACAAUCCAGGUUGAACUGGAAAAUCCUAGAGGAUCCAAAAGUAGAAGAGCAGACAACACUGAUGUCCAUUUAUAACUUGUGACUCCUUCCGGGAAGCUGCGAACAACUUGCUGGGUCUUUCGAGGUAGCUGCAAGGUCUUCUACAACAGCACUCAGGCCUCCCAAGACCCUGGGAAGUCUGCGUCUACAGCUUUCACAUCAAUCUGAGAGACUGCAUAGGCUGGUGUGGGAAACAAAUCGGUUUAAUGAAUCCCAAUGGGUUACAUUCUGGUCAACAGUAUGAACACACUACAUGUCUGAAGUAUUGCAUACUUAAAACAAAUCACAUAGAACAGGGGUAGAGAGGGAAGAACUUGGUAACAUUAAAAAAACUGUCACAAGGGACUAGUGCUGUGGUGCAGCAGGUUGAAGCCCUGGCCUGAAGCACCAGCAUCCCAUGUGGGUACUGGUUCUAGUCCCGGCUGUUCCUCUUCUGAUCCAGCUCUCUGCUGUGGCCUGGGAUAGCAGUGGAAGAUGGCCCAAGUGCUUGGGCCCCUGCACCCACAUGGAAGACCCAGAGGAAGCUCCUGGCUUCGGACUGGCGCAGCUCUGGCCGUUGCGGCCAUCUGGGGGAGUGAACCAGCGGAUGGAGGACCUCUCUGUCUCUACCUCUGUCACUCUUUCAAAUAAAUAAAAUAAAUUUUUUAACUGUCAAAUAAAAGUGAAAUGUCAAUAAAAAACCUGACAGGGACAGAUGUUGAGAAGUAGCUGCUUGGGACUCUUGCAUCUCAUAUCAGAGUGCCUGGUGAGGGUCCUGGCCACCCCACUCACCAUCCAGCCUCUUGCUCACAGGUACCCUGGGAGAUGCCAGGUGAUGGCCCAAGUACUUGGGUCCUUGCUACUCCUGUGGGAGACCUGGAUGGAGCUCCUGGCUUUGGCCUGGCCCAGCCCUGGCUGUGGCAGGCAUUUGGGAAAUGAACCAGCAGCCAGAUCUUUGUCUUUCAAGUAGAGAUAACAAAAAAAUUUUAAAAAACUGGACAAGUACAUGAAGCAAAAUUGAUCACUUUUAAUGUUAAGUCCUGAGCAAAUCAUCAAAAUAGGGGAGCAUUCCAAAAGAAAGCUGGGUAAUUUAGACAAAUAAAAAGUACAAAUGGCCAGUAAAACCCUGAGACAAAUAUUUUACCUCACUAGGGAUCCAGUAGGCAAAUUAAAACAAGAUUCUCCUUUUUGGGAGACAAACUAUCUUUCAUUUUAUAUUUUAUUUUUUUGACAGGCAGAGUGGACAGUGAGAGACAGACAGAAAGGUCUUCCUUUGCCAUUGGUUCACCCUCCAAUGGCUGCUGCGGCCGGCGCAUCGAACUGAUCCAA